UACGUAGGAGGCAAGCGUUGUCCGGAAUUACUGGGCGUAAAGCGUGCGCAGGCGGUUGUGCAAGACCGAUGUGAAAUCCCCGGGCUUAACCUGGGAAUGGCAUUGGUGACUGCACGGCUAGAGUGUGGCAGAGGGGGGUAGAAUUCCACGUGUAGCAGUGAAAUGCGUAGAGAUGUGGAGGAAUACCGAUGGCGAAGGCAGCCCCCUGGGAUAACACUGACGCUCAUGCACGAAAGCGUGGGGAGCAAACAGG
rnacentral:rRNA from 1 species